rnacentral:rRNA from 1 species
UAUCAAUAAACUUGUAGCAAAAUAGGUCCCUUGCGCUUGCUCGAGUUGGAAUUUGAAGGUCGUUUUCUGGUACUGGCCCUUGCCUAUGUUCCUUGGAACAGGACGUCAUAAGGGUGAGAAUCCCGUCUGAUGGGGUGUCCAGUGCUUUGAAGAUUUCUAUCGAAGAGUCGAGUUGUUUGGGAAUGCAGCUCUAAGUGGGUGGUAAAUUCCAUCUAAAGCUAAAUACUGGCGAGAGACCGAUAGCGAACAAGUACAGUGAUGGAAAGAUGAAAAGAACUUUGAAAAGAGAGUGAAAAAGUACGUGAAAUUGUUGAAAGGGAAGGGUAUUGGAUCAGACUUGGUGUUUUGUGAUUAUCUUCCCUUCUUGGGUUGUGCACUCGCAUUUCACUGGGCCAGCAUCGGUUCGGAUGGCAAGAUAAUGGCUUGGGAACGUGGCACUCUUCGGAGUGUGUUAUAUCCCUUGUUGAUGUUGCCUAUCUGGACCGAGGACUGCGGCUUCUGCCUAGGAUGCUGGCGUAAUGAUUCAAUACC